UGGCCACAAAAUACCUUAUUCUGUAGUCACUUUGAGUUACGAUGAUUACUAUGUUAAUUUAAAAGAUUAUAAUAAUUCCUUACUGAGUGGUUUAUUGUAACAUUUGGUAAAUAUCCCCAUAUUUAUAAUAACCCAACUAUCGUAAACAUGUAUAGAUAUUAUCAUAAAUUACUAUAUAAACUUAUCAUAAAUAGAGGUGGCUGUAGAAUAACUUAUUUUGUAGCUG
rnacentral:pre_miRNA from 1 species